rnacentral:rRNA from 1 species
CAAUAGCGUAUAUUAAAGUUGUUGCGGUUAAAAAGCUCGUAGUUGGAUUUCUGCCGAGGACGACCGGUCCGCCCUCUGGGUGAGUAUCUGGCUCGGCCUGGGCAUCUUCUUGGAGAACGUAGCUGCACUUGACUGUGUGGUGCGGUAUCCAGGACUUUUACUUUGAGGAAAUUAGAGUGUUUCAAGCAGGCUUACGCCUUGAAUACAUUAGCAUGGAAUAAUAAGAUAGGACCUCGGUUCUAUUUUGUUGGUUUCUAGAGCUGAGGUAAUGAUUAAUAGGGAUAGUUGGGGGCAUUCGUAUUUAACUGUCAGAGGUGAAAUUCUUGGAUUUGUUAAAGACAGACUACUGCGAAAGCAUUUGCCAAGGAUGUUUNCAUUGA